rnacentral:rRNA from 1 species
UACGGAGGGGGCUAGCGUUGUUCGGAAUUACUGGGCGUAAAGCGCACGUAGGCGGACUGUUAAGUCGGGGGUGAAAUCCCGGGGCUCAACCCCGGAACUGCCUCCAAAACUGCUGGUCUGGAGGUCGAGAGAGGUGAGUGGAAUUCCGAGUGUAGAGGUGAAAUUCGUAGAUAUUCGGAGGAACACCAGUGGCGAAGGCGGCUCACUGGCUCGAUACUGACGCUGAGGUGCGAAAGCGUGGGGAGCAAACAGG